GCCUUCGUGGUGUAGUGGCCAUCACGCUCGCCGCGUAUUUGAGAGGUCCGUGGUUCGAAUCCCGGCGAAGGCA
rnacentral:tRNA from 1 species